GAUGAACGCUAGCGGGAGGCCUAACACAUGCAAGCCGAGCGGUAUUUCUUCUUUGGGAGAGAGAGAGCGGCGUACGGGUGCGGAACACGCGUGCAACCUGCCUUUAUCUAGAGGAUAGCCUUUCGAAAGGAAGAUUAAUACUCUAUCAUAUAUUAAUUGGCAUCAAUUGAUAUUGAAAACUCCGGUGGAUAGAGAUGGGCACGCACAAGAUUAGCUAGUUGGUGAGGUAACGGCUCACCAAGGAAAUGAUCUUUAGGAGGUCUCAGAGGGUGAUCCCCCACACUGGUACUGAGACACGGACCAGACUCCUGCGGGAGGCAGCAGUGAGGAAUAUUGGUCAAUGGGUGCAAGCCUGAACCAGCCAUCCCGCGUGAAGGAUUAAGGUCCUAUGGAUUGUAAACUUCUUUUGUAUAGGGAUAAACCUACCCUCGUGAGGGUAGCUGAAGGUACUAUACGAAUAAGCACCGGCUAACUCCGUGCCAGCAGCCGCCGUAAAAC
rnacentral:rRNA from 1 species